rnacentral:rRNA from 1 species
CCUACGGGAGGCAGCAGUGAGGAAUAUUGGUCAAUGGACGCAAGUCUGAACCAGCCAUGCCGCGUGCAGGAUGACAGCUCUAUGAGUUGUAAACUUCUUUUGUACGGGGGUAAACCGCCCUACGUGUAGCGUUUUGUAUGUAUCUUACGAAUAAGCAUCGGCUAACUCCGUGCCAGCAGCCGCGGUAAUACGGAGGAUCCGAGCGUUAUCCGGAUUUAUUGGGUUUAAAGGGUGCGUAGGCGGUUCCAUAAGUUAGCGGUAAAAUAUUGCGGCUCAACCCGACCGUGCCGUUGAAAAUGUUGGACUAGAGUAUACGUAGGGUACAUGGAAUGCGUGGUGUAGCGGUGAAAUGCUUAGAUAUCACGAAGAACACCGAUCGCGAAGGCAUUGUACCAGAGCAAGACUGACGCUGAGGCUCGAAAGUGCGGGUAUCAAACAGGAUUAGAUACCCCGGUAGUC